GGGACCUUAAUUAUGGUGUAUCAUACACUGAGCUACCCACCUGUGUCACUUUUGUUUGAUUUGAAGCCUUCCGUGAGAUUUUGGGUUUGGGCGAUAUCCACAAACCACCAUACAACGGGAGUCAGCGGGGCACAGACUUUAAAUCCGUCGUACACGCAUAAACAGUAUUUUCUUAUUUUGUUUAGGGUCAUACAAUUACGUUUCCGCCUCAUUUCAAUAUUUAAAUCUCCCGGGUUCAGUGAACGAAUUAAAAAUCUGUAUUGACUGAGGUGUGCCACGUCAUCUUUCUGCGACGCUCAUUCUGACAGCCAGGAGCCAGCCAGCUCUGCUACGGCAGUCGGCAACAUGAUAAAGUAACAAGAAGCAAACGUUGAAGCUCUCGGUUUUUAACAGUUCUUCGGCUAGAACUUUGCUAUGGGUUGAAUGUGCGCAUAUACUGGAUGCUGAAACUAAACGACAAGCUUUAUGAAACCGUGGCAUUUUGCGUUGAGAUGGAAAAGGAACGCGCCACACUCUCCUGGAUACGAGGCUACGUGUGUGCGGCUUUUGCGCCAAAGCUCUUUCUACCAGCAAAACAAAAUAGCAGGACAGAAGUGACAGCGUCAGAAACAAAACAUUGCUGUUCCGAUUGCUGAUGGAGACAACAGAGAAAGACAGGAGAAGGUCAAGACUCAAGAGCUGGACUUUCCAUGACGUCCUCAAUCGACCCCUGUGAAUAGCAGCCCACCGUUGACCAGCCAUCAGUAUCUACUGUGCAGUCAUUUCCUGACCCGGUUUCUCACUAGCCCUUCGCAGACGAACACUACCACCUGAAGACGGUCGUCUGGAUAAUACUUCGGUUUGACACCGGCAUGGUCUACCACAAAGAUAGACGCCAGACCUUCUGAAAGGACCUAAUGGACUGAGUGCUGGAAAGGAGACAACCCCUCUAUAGAAUAAACUGAGUGUAACAAACACUCCACCACGAAAACUCUCCACUCCAGUCCCAAGAACAGACAUGUAUGUUUUAGUGUCAUGACGGAGCAAUCAUUUCGGAAGGUCCUAAACCCUAUUUAUCUAAAAUACUUUCUGAUGUUUGAUAGUGACAUCUUGGUUACCCAAUAAGACAUUUCUUACAUUAUUACAAGAUUCUUCACUUCUUCCUACAUUGUUAAUGACUGAAUGAUUACAAAUAUGAUGUACACAUUGUUAUUGGUCACACCUGCUGACAUUAAAGUCCCAGUAAAAUCUUCUCUCUUUUCCUUUAUGUAAAGAAGGUAAAGUAAUGACACUUGAGGCAGUAAUGACAAAUGGAUAAAUGUGUAAAAUUUAUUUUCAAUGGCCAUCAAAUUAUAUUGAUGACCUAAGUUCAAGAGAGUCCUUGUGCACAAGCCCUCAGCAAUGCAGGUGCUGAUGUGAGGCAGGAGAAGGUGAACAAUGAACAAAAUUCAAAAGACAUUUCACACUGCUUAUUGUUCUUUUUCUUCCUUCAUUUUUCUGAGCUAACAACGCAUUUUGCCCUGUGUGUCAAAAUAAAGUAAGAAAAAGAAUGGUAAGCAGUGUGCGGUGUCUUUUGAUUUAUGUAGAUAAUCUCUUCCUGUGAGUCCAAGAUAUUGUGCAGGUGGAAGUUGAGAAAGUGUCCCUAUGAUUGUUACAAUGGAAUGAUGCAUGAAAUUAAUUUACAAAUGUUAUCAAAAGACAUGGAAUAUUACAUUUUCAUUUCAUUGCAUUUUUAAAAAAAAUGCAUUGCACUUAGCUGACGCUUUCAUUUACCAAAAGUGGUAUUGGUUACAGUCCCUGGAGCAAUGUGGGGUUAGGUGCCUUGCUCAAGGGCACUUCAGCCAUGGAUGGAGAUGUAGGGAGAGGUCAGGAGGGAUUCGAACCAGCUACAUUUGGUCCAAUAAGGGGUCCCCACAAUGCACCUAAGAUGUGUAAUGUCAAAUUAUGUGUAGUAUUACCAACUAGAUUUAUAACUUCAUUGUAAUUACUCAAUAUAACACAAGAUGAUAAGUCAAUGUAGAGACUCUGACUCCAUCCAGCAUAUGGUAUGGUGGAGAUGGAUGAGGGUCAUGAUGCACCUUGGAUGACCCUUCUGUACUGUAACCUGGCCGCAGACGUUCAGCUCCCAGGGCGCUGGGCGCUGUGUACAGCAUUUCCUACGAGACAGAUGAUCACAAUACAGCAAGUAAGAGGUAGGGACACUUCAGUCAAUGACG